UACAGAGGGUGCAAGCGUUGUUCGGAAUUAUUGGGCGUAAAGGGCGCGUAGGCGGCGCGACAAGUCACUUGUGAAAUCUCCGGGCUUAACUCGGAGCCUGCAGGCGAAACUGUCGUGCUGGAGUAUGGGAGAGGUGCGUGGAAUUCCCGGUGUAGCGGUGAAAUGCGUAGAUAUCUGCAGGAACACCCGUGGCGAAAGCGGCGCGCUGGACCACAACUGACGCUGAGGAACGAUAGCUAGGGGAGCAAACAGG
rnacentral:rRNA from 1 species